rnacentral:rRNA from 1 species
UACGAAGGGGGCUAGCGUUGCUCGGAAUCACUGGGCGUAAAGCGCACGUAGGCGGAUUGCUAAGUCAGGGGUGAAAUCCUGGAGCUCAACUCCAGAACUGCCUUUGAUACUGGCGACCUUGAGUCCGGGAGAGGUGAGUGGAACUGCGAGUGUAGAGGUGAAAUUCGUAGAUAUUCGCAAGAACACCAGUGGCGAAGGCGGCUCACUGGCCCGGUACUGACGCUGAGGUGCGAAAGCGUGGGGAGCAAACCGG